AUUGAACGCUGGCGGUAGGCCUAACACAUGCAAGUCGAACGGCAGCACAGUAAUAGCUUGCUCUUACAGGGGGCGAGGGGCGGGCGGGGGAUGAAUACAUCGCAGGCUACGUGUGCGUGGGGGAGAACGUAGGGGAACUUACGCUAAUACCGCAGAGGGACUACGGGGGGAAUCAUGGGAUCUUCGGACCUUAGGCGAUCGAAUGAGCCGAUGGCGUAUUGGCUGGUUGGCGGGGUAAAGGCCCACCAAGGCGAGGAUCCGUAGCUGGUGUGAGAGGAUGAUCAGCCACACUGGAACUGAGACACGGUCCAGACUCCUACGGGAGGCAGCAGUGGGGAAUAUUGGACAAUGGGCGCAAGCCUGAUCCAGCCAUGCCGCGUGGGUGAAGAAGGCCUUCGGGUUGUAAAGCCCUUUUGUUGGGAAAGAAAAGCAGCAGGUUAAUACCCUGCUGUUCUGACGUUACCAAAAGAAUAAGCACCGGCUAACUUCGUG
rnacentral:rRNA from 1 species